UACGGGGGGGCAAGCGUUGUUCGGAAUUACUGGGCGUAAAGGGCGCGUAGGCGGCCUGUUAAGUCGAACGUGAAAUCCCCGGGCUCAACCCGGGAACUGCGUCCGAUACUGGCAGGCUUGAAUCCGGGAGAGGGAUGUGGAAUUCCAGGUGUAGCGGUGAAAUGCGUAGAUAUCGAGAGGAACACCUGCGGCGAAGGCGGGUUGCUGGGCCGACACUGACGCUGAGGCGCGAAAGCCAGGGGAGCGAACGGG
rnacentral:rRNA from 1 species